rnacentral:rRNA from 2 species
CUGGUGUCAGCCGCCCCUUUUAUACCGACACCCCGAGUGGUCGGGACGAUUAUUGGGCCUAAAGCAUCCGUAGCCGGCCUUACAAGUCCUCCGUUAAAUCCAGCUGCUUAACAGAUGGGCUGCGGAGGAUACUAUAAGACUAGGAGGCAGGAGAGGCAAGCGGUACUCAGUGGGUAGGGGUAAAAUCCGUUGAUCCAUUGAAGACCACCAGUGGCGAAGGCGGCUUGCCAGAAUGCGCUCGACGGUGAGGGAUGAAAGCUGGGGGAGCAAACCGGAUUAGAUACCCGGGUAGUCCCAGCUGUAAACGAUGCAGACUCGGUGAUGGACUAGCUUUAUGCUGGUCCAGUGCCGCAGGGAAGCCGUUAAGUCUGCCGCCUGGGUAGUACGGUCGCAAGACUGAAACUUAAAG